AAGUAAAAGUCGUAACAAGGUUUCCGUAGGUGAACCUGCGGAAGGAUCAUUAUAGAAUAAAAUUGAACGGGCUGUUGCUCUCCUUAUGGUGGUGCACGCCUGUCAUAUUUAUCUCUCCCACUGUGCACAUUUUGUAGACCUGGUGUUUGGGAAUUGCUGUAGUCAGCUUUGCCCUUUGCCCUUGCCAGUCUAUGUUAUUUUAUCACAACCUCUGAAUGUUUUGAACUUUUUAUGAUGGAAAUUAUAUACAACUUUCAGCAACGGAUCUCUUGGCUCUCGCAUCGAUGAAGAACGCAGCGAAAUGCGAUAAGUAAUGUGAAUUGCAGAAUUCAGUGAAUCAUCGAAUCUUUGAACGCAUCUUGCGCUUCUUGGUAUUCCAAGGAGCAUGCCUGUUUGAGUGUCAUUAAAGUUCUCAAAACCCACAUGCUUGUCAUGUGGAAUUUUGGAUAUGGGGGUUUGCAGGCUUUUUAAAGUCGGCUCCUCUGAAAUGUAUCAGUGGUAUCUGUGUGGACUACAGGUGUGAUAAAUAAAAUCUAUGCCUUGCCCCUCACCGUGCUGCUUCUUCUGACGAGUUGGGAUUGACAAAUUUGACCUCAAAUCAGGUAGGACUACCCGCUGAACUUAAGCAUAUCA
rnacentral:rRNA from 1 species